GCUUUACUGAGCCAUUGCAGCAUCAUCUGCCUGAGCAAGGGAGUUCCAGUUAAAUGUCUUCUCUCUACCUGACUUUGUCUUGUUCUCUGUUCCAGCAGCGGCUGCAGGAAGCGCAUCUCUGAGAACUUGGCGCUGAGUGAUGAAGGCAAGACAAAGACCAUAGAGCCAUUUGGUGCAUCCCUGCCGCUGUCACUCCAUAUCCUGGACUUGCAGUGAAAGGAGUUUGAAGCCUCCGUCCUAGAUGCGCAUCCGUUUGGGAUGCUUCUCUCAUUGAAGGAGAGCAGACGUCUCAAAUAAAUGGAUGGCUUAAUGGACCGUCUUGCUGGGCCCUACGUAAGGACAGCGGUCAGAGACUAAACUGGGAGCAGGGUCAGGUGGAGAAAGUGGCAUCACCAGCUGUCACCAGGCCUUGAAGGCAUCCAGAUCUGGAAAGGCCCCAGGCAUUCAGAUCCAAUAGGAAAAACCAUGGAUGAUCCAAAGUAGUGAUGACCUCACCCCAUCCAGAUAGCCGUCCACAUGGAGGAAAGAGUCCAGAGCAAAAAGGCCCUGCUCCUCCCAUCAUGGUCUGCCCUAUAUAUCAUCCUGUCCAGAAGCUCUACGCCAUAAUGGUGUGAAAGAGGCUUUGCUUUGGAGCCAAGCCCAGCUGAGUUUCAAUUUUGGAUUCUCUGGAUCACUACAAGAACGAGCAAGGACAUGCCGGGGACCCUCCAUGGACCCCAGUUUCCUCACCUGUAAACUGGAGGUAAUAACACACACGCCGCAUCAUGGGGUUACAUUAGUGUUUAAUACAAUGGCUGGCACAUAGUAGGAAAUCAAUAAACACUUGUUCCCACUCUAUCUUCA
rnacentral:lncRNA from 1 species